UGGAAGAUUGCGGGCCAGUCACUUUCUAGAUUGUUCUGCAUUAUAAAUUUGUCCAGUGUUUAUUUUUUAAAAAAGAUUGUAUCUAUUUAUUCAUGAGACACACACACACACACAACACAGAGGCAGAGGCAGAGGCAGAGACGCAGGCAGAGAGAGAAGCAGGCUCCAUGCAGGGAGCCCAACAUGGGACUCGAUCCCGGGUCUCCAGGAUCAGGCCCCGGACCUGAAAGGUGGCGCCUAAACCUCUGAGCCAUCCAGGCUGCCCUAUUCCGCAUUUUUUAAAGUCCGUAAUAAUGUAGAAGUUGAUGAAGUGAUGCUGUGCUUUCUUGUUCCAUGGCUGAUGGUUUCCACGUGGAUCACUCCAAUUAAGGUAGACUCUGAAAGACUUGGCUGUCGAGCCUCUCUUUUACUUGUUUCUCUACAUUGUUCAAUUUAGAAUCUCAUCUCUGUGGAGGUAAGUGAUACGCUAUAUGUAUAACCUGUAUCAAGUAUAGAUAUUUAUCCCUACUAUGGCUACACACAGACACAUAUAUAUUCUACAUUUAUAUAUUAAGUAACACUGAAUUGCAAAGAUCUGUCUCUAUUUCUCUUUUUUUUGGUCUCUAUUUCUGAUGCCAAUAUUGACAUUUACGUUCUUGUGCCCAUUCGAACUGUUUUUUUUUUUUUUUUUUUUUUUUUUUUUUUUUCAUUUUGAACUGUUGACAAAUGCUCCUAACAUUCCUGUGGAAUCCCAUUUCUCCAUUCAUAAUAAAAUGAUGGUGCCACUCAGGAAUUGGAGGCUUAGCAGCCAAUUGGAUUUCAGCAUAAGAAACCUCAGGGAAGGACAACAUUUCCUGAAACACACGCUUAUCUUCAUCUGAAUCUUGAGAUGAGGUCCUCCGCAGAUGCUUCUGCUGAGACCCCCUUAUAGGAAGAGAAGGGAAAACCUGGAAGACACUUUUCCAACUCUGACAUGGUACUGAGUACUGUGCCCCUAGUGCUUCUCAGUCUCUCUCCAGCCCAGGGAUCUCUGAAAAUGCUUCUCCCUUUGCCUGUGUCUCUGCCACUUUCUAUCUCCUAUGAAUAAAUAAAUGAAGCCAUAACCUUUGUUUGGGGUUUCCUAAACAGUGAGACCAAUGCCAUGCUUGUGUUCACCUGAUCUGUGAUCUGUACGACACUGCCUGGGAUGGGGAGUCGAACAGGGGGAGCCAGGACUUCUGUGGCAAAGGCUCUUGCUUGUGCCAUCAUAUGAGUGAUUAUAGGAUCAAAGCUUUCAUUUGUGAUUUGAUGCUUUGUCUGCUGCUCUGACACCUGGCACCUGAGUCUCUCUCCACAAGGCCAGUGAGCUCCUGGCAGCAGAAACUGCAUGGGGUGUGCACAUGGGGAGAUGGCGAAAUGAGGUCCAUGAUGUGUUUGUCGGAAGGGAUGAAGAGCCCUGUGCUGGCAUAGGAUGUAGGCAGAAAGAACGUAGACUUCUGAGACCUGGUGAGAACUGGCAGAGUGAUUGGAAACACAUGACAACAGACAUGGGUUGUGGGCACAGGCAUUGGAAAUAUACAGAGGAAAACAUGGCAUGGUGAUGCUGGAGACAGACAUGGUUGGGGGGCACAGGGUUUGAGAAGACAAGAGAGAACCAUGGGACCCAACUAAAUCAAUGUCUUGUGUAAAAUUAUAGACUUCUGUGGACACAUUAGAGUAGAAGAAAGAUGAAAUCCGUCACCUUUGUUUCCUUCAGGAAGCAUACAGAAGUAAGGAAAUAGCAAAGACAAGAGUAUAAGAGAAUGACUUAGAAAAAAAACAAUAUAAAAAUAAAGAAGGGUAAAAGUUGAUAGUAAUACCAGCAAUGAACAAGCUGAGGAACAGAAAUGGAGAGCAGACCAAAGCAGUGACGUUGGAGAUGCUCUGUGAGCCUGCAGACACUGAUCGGAUGCUGCCAGGGCUUUGGAACCGUGAGGGACACAGUCGGCCCAUAACCAGCCCCCCCGCCUGCUCACAGCCUCUGCUCAUGGCCCCAAGCUCAUGGGCUCAUGGCCCCCACUCAUAGCCUGCUGAUUCUUCCCAGGCCCGAGCCCAGGGUGCCCUGAAAUGUGUGGUGAGAAGGUACAUCCUUGACAAGUUCCAGAUCUUGGAUGGAAAGCAUUUUUUUUUUUUUUUUCCUUUUCACCACUAAGUAUCCUGUUAGCUCUAGGGUUUUUGUUUGUUUGUUUGUUUUGUUUUGUUUGUUUUGUAGAUGCAUUUUACCAGAUUAAAGGAAUUCCCUUCCCUUACUGGUAUCUUUGGAGUGUGCAAGAUGACUGGAUAUUGAAAUUUGUUGUUUCCCUGCAUCUCUUGAGUUUUCACUGUUGUGAUAAUAUGGUGAAUUAUAUUCACUUAAAAAGUAUUGAUUCAGAAAAGAAGUACUGAUUUAGCCUUUCACUCCUAAGAUGAUCUCUGCAUUGUCUUAAUGUUGCUUGUAGGUCUGUGGGUAUAUAUGUAUAUUAAUGUAUUUAUGUAUACAUAAUAUUCAUAUAGAUUUUAACACUUUAAAUAAACUUUUUACUUUUUUCAGCUUUGUUGUGUUAUAAUUAAUAAAUUGCAGUGGAGGGAUCCCUGGGUGGCACAGCGGUUUGGCGCCUGCCUUUGACCCAGGGCGCGAUCCUGGAGACCCGGGAUCGAAUCCCACGUCGGGCUCCCGGUGCAUGGAGCCUGCUUCUCCCUCUGCCUGUGUCUCUGCCUCUCUCUCUCUGUGUCUAUCAUGAAUAAAUAAAUAAAAUCUUUAAAAAAAAUAAAAUGAGUCUCUUGUAGACAGCAAAUAGAUGGGUCUUGCUUUAAAAAAAAAUUGCAGUGGAAUAUAUUUAAAUUAUACAAAAUGAUUUUUUUUUUUAAGAUUCUAUUUAUUUAUUCAUGAGAAACACACAGAGAGAGGGAGAGACGUAGGUGGAGGGAGAAGAAGGCUCCUCCCAAGGAGCCUGUUUUCGGGACUUGAUCCCUGGACCAGGAUCACACCCUGAGCUGAAGGCAGACGCUCAACCACUAGCCACCCAGGCAUCCCCAUACAUGAUGAUUUGAUGUACAUAUAUGUACAUAUACAUUGUGGAGAAUUCUCAGUCAAGUUAAUUAACACUUAUAUCACCAGCUGGAAAUCCAAGUAUAACUUUUGACUCCCCCCAAAACUGAACUACUAAUGGCCUUGUGUUGUUUGGAUACCUUACUGAUAACAUAAUCAAUAUCACAUUUUUGUACUGUAUUUUUACAAUGAAAUAAGCUAGAGAAAAGAGUUGAUAUUAAGAAAACAUAAGGGGGAGGAACUGCCUGGUAUAGCUCAGUGGUUGAGCAUAUGCCUUCGCCUCAGGUCCUGAUCCCAUGGUCCUGGGAUUAAGUCCUGCAUAGGGCUCCCUGCAGGGAGCCUCCUUCUCCCUUUGCUUGUGUCUCUGCCUCUUUCUCUCUAUCUCCCAUGAAUAAAUAAAUAAAAUCUUAAAAUUUUACUGUAUCCUACUGUAUUGAAAAAAAGGCAUGCAGAAGUGGGCACACACAAUUUAAAGUUGUGUUGUUCAAGGGUCAGCUAUAUGUGUAUAUACAUACGUGUGUAUGGUGUGUGUGUGUGUGUGUGUGUGUGUGUGUGUGGUGUGGCCUCCCACAGCAUUCAGACAGACCUAUGCUUAUCUACAGAACCAAGAAGACAUCUACCCUGAACCCUAUUCUCACAAGUCAGCUGCUGGGAAAGAAACCUAUGAGAACCAUCUGCUCUAUAGGGUCUCCCAUUGAAAGACCUGAAGUGAGCUUUACCUCACUUCAUGGACUGGAGAGAAGAUAGGAAAUAGCUGUCACUGACACAAUGACACUGUCCAGGCACUGUGGCCCAGACCCUGCCCUCAUUAUCACUUUGGCAGACAACGGGCCUGAAGUCUGUUCCCAUGAUGUUCCCUGGGCUGCCUCUAAAACAUGUGGACUGGGCCAUGUCCUAAUCCAUCAGGCACAAAUCUAGUGUCAUGAUGUAAACUCAAACCUGAACUCAUGGCCUGCUGCGUGGACACUGGGCCAGGAUUCUAAGCUCAGCCUCAAGGUAUCAGGCAAAAGAUCUGACCAGAUGUCCAUCUGGACUCCCCAUAAGCCCCCAAAUAAACUGAGACUCCUUCCCUUCUAGAUCACCCAGGAGAGCCUCAGAGACCUGAUUUGGACACUGUUCAAACUCUCCACUUUCUAUCCAUUACAACUGGACUUGGACCAAAGGAAAACCCCACAUGACCAGGAAGAUGGCAGCUGAGGUUCUGAGCACAGACUUCAUCUGAAUGCCGUCUCCACCUGCACUGGUCCUCAUUCUUCACCAUCCAGCCAUGUUCUAGGCCAAUCCUUCAGAAUGGUCUUC
rnacentral:lncRNA from 1 species